rnacentral:rRNA from 1 species
UUUGCUUGGCGGCUAUAGUGCGAUGGACCCACCUGAUACCAUGCCGAACUCAGUAGUGAAACGUCGUAAACGCCGAUGGUAGUGUGGGGUAUCCCCAUGCGAGAGUAGGACACCGCCAGGCACCAAAUAAUAAUUAUCAGUAUAAUUAAAAAAAAUAUAAAAAGUAAUAUAGUUGACUGCUCUAGCAUCUAAAGAUGCUAGAGCAGAAAUAUUAAU